rnacentral:tRNA from 1 species
UCUAAUAUGGCAGAUUAGUGCAAUGGAUUUAAGCUCCAUAUAUAAAGAUUUUAUUCUUUUAUUAGAA